rnacentral:rRNA from 1 species
GAUGAACGCUGGCGGCGUGCCUAAUACAUGCAAGUCGAGCGAAUGGAUCAAGAGCUUGCUCUUAUGAAGUUAGCGGCGGACGGGUGAGUAACACGUGGGUAACCUGCCCUUAAGACUGGGAUAACUCCGGGAAACCGGGGCUAAUACCGGAUAACAUUUUGAACCGCAUGGUUCGAAAUUGAAAGGCGGCUUCGGCUGUCACUUAUGGAUGGACCCGCGUCGCAUUAGCUAGUUGGUGAGGUAACGGCUCACCAAGGCAACGAUGCGUAGCCGACCUGAGAGGGUGAUCGGCCACACUGGGACUGAGACACGGCCCAGACUCCCACGGGAGGCAGCAGUAGGGAAUCUUCCGCAAUGGACGAAAGUCUGACGGAGCAACGCCGCGUGGGUGAUGAAGGCUUUCGGGUCGUAAAACUCUGUUGUUAGGGAAGAACAAGUGCUAAUUGAAUAAGCUGGCACCUUGACGGUACCUAACCAGAAAGCCACGGCUAACUACGUGCCAGCCGCCGCUGUAA